rnacentral:misc_RNA from 1 species
AAAAAAACAAGAUUUUGCCAUAGUAACAAAUUAUAAGUUUGGAAGACAACAGAAACUUUACAUCAUAAAUGUUAACUAAAGAAUCUAAACAAAGAGAAGAUAGAUACAAGAAAAAAGGAAAAAGAAACGCAGGAUUGGUGAAAAGGGUACCUAGGUAUGAACAGAACUCUAGAGGGAUAAGUGAGGCCCACAGAGCGGAUUGCAGGGAAAGCUCUCAUCUUUUGCAGCUUGAAAAAGAAAAUUUUUAUUGAAGAAAACUUCAGAAACGAAGGUGGGAGAUUUAUCUUGUUCUGGAGCACUUGCUUUGCUUCAACUUUCUUUGAGCGAGCGAAGGGAGCAGACGAUAGAGGAAGGGAAAAUGUCUUGGAUAUGUUGUUGUGUGGGGUUUGAAUAUCUCUGGCUCUCUGUCCGUG